rnacentral:rRNA from 1 species
UGAGGAAUAUUGGGUCAAUGGACGGGAGUCUGAACCAGCCAAGUAGCGUGCAGGACGACGGCCCUAUGGGUUGUAAACUGCUUUUAUAGGGGGAUAAAGUGUGCCACGUGUGGCAUAUUGCAGGUACCCUAUGAAUAAGGACCGGCUAAUUCCGUGCCAGCAGCCGCGGUAAUACGGAAGGUCCGGGCGUUAUCCGGAUUUAUUGGGUUUAAAGGGAGCGUAGGCCGGAGAUUAAGCGUGUUGUGAAAUGUAGUGGCUCAACCUCUGCACUGCAGCGCGAACUGGUCUUCUUGAGUACGCACAACGUGGG